rnacentral:rRNA from 1 species
UACAGGGGGGGCAAGCGUUGUUCGGAAUUACUGGGCGUAAAGGGCUCGUAGGUGGCCAACUAAGUCAGACGUGAAAUCCCUCAGCUUAACUGGGGAACUGCGUCUGAUACUGGAUGGCUUGAGUUUGGGAGAGGGAUGCGGAAUUCCAGGUGUAGCGGUGAAAUGCGUAGAUAUCUGGAGGAACACCGGUGGCGAAGGCGGCAUUCUGGACCGAUAUUGACGCUGAGGAGCGAAAGCCAGGGGAGCAAACGGG